UACUAAAAUGAAUUAUGUUUAUAGGUGAAUAGAAUUCUUUUUUAGUUUAGGGUGGCCAGUUACUAACAGUGGCCAGUUACUAGAGAAUUACCCUAUAUCGGUUUAGUAAGUUAUGAAUAUUUAGAAUCUGUGCUCAAUAGAUAUUCUACUCUAAAUUUAUGGGAAUAGAGUUGUUUUUCUUUUUUCACAUUUGAUCAUAAUAAUUAUUGUAUGUAUAGGUUACUAGCCUCGUAUUUUAAGAUAAAAUCAAAUAAAUAUUGGUUUUAUUUCGACUGGCCAUAAUGACAACUGAUAAUGACAUUGCGAUCAGUCGAAAUUUUCCUUUUAGGCUUUUAACCAAACUCCUAAGACAUGUCUGCAAAGAUUUUGAUAGCACACGCAGUGCAAGUGUUAUUAUAAACGUCAUAAAAGUUUGUCAUUUCAUAGAAGUUUGACAUUUAAAAUAACACUUGCACUCCGUGUGCUACCAAAAUCGUUGCAGACUUAUCUUGGUCUAACUCUACUAUCGAGAUGUCACCAAAUCGUCAAUGUCAUCAGCUGUUGCUUGUCGAGUCAAGCCCUUGACUGCUCUGAAAGGACAAUGGCAAAAUAAGGCUAGCUAGAGUGAUACGUGGGCCAUACUGAAAGUUUCUGGAUUCUGAUAUUUGUGAUAUAUGAGACGACUUAUUUUUUUCUAAGUGGUCAGUCCAGCAAUUUUCAGUAUGCCCUAAGAGAUUUUUCGAGAUUGUAAUUGCUAUCAUAGAGUAAAAGUAAAGAUAGAGUGGUAACUCCAUACAUCAGUUUUAUUACCAAAACGAGAGUUAUUUCGUAGUCGACAUAAAAGUUCGAUUGUCUCAAUUUGUUGAACCAAUCUGUCAUUUCAGUAUAAAAUUGGUAAAAAUGGCCAUUUUUACCCAAUUAUUAUUGUUUUUACUUGCUAGCCCUAGCUUGCUGUUAAUCCUUUUCCAGGCAUAGUACGAUUUAUCGACCACAUAUGCGCCACUAGAAUUUCAACUUUAGCAUUCCGAUUUAAGAUUCAAAUUAGAUUGCACUUUCGGGAAAUUUGACUUGUCUUCAAAUGAAUCAUCAUUAAUCGGAAUAUAUUUGGAUUUUUCGGGAAAACCUUGUAGAUUGGUGCGGCCUGGCAAGAGGUUAAAUGAAAUGGUGCCGGCACCUACUGUAUCUAAAUAUAGUAUAGUGUUUAUAUUAUUGCGCCAAAUUAAUUUAAAAGGGUGCCUAAGUAUAAAAAUGACCCAUUUUAAUGGCUAAUUGUCUGAUAGUGUCUAAAUGGGCCCACUGGACGGUAUCGGCCUGUCAGUUGGAACAAAAUUUUGACAGUUCCGAACAACUGACAGGCCGAUACCGUGCGGCGGACUGUUAAUCAGUGGGCCCCUUAAGGGUUUUUGGCAAAGGAUACCAGUUUAGAGGUUGUCAAUGAGGCCUAAAUAAGUCUCAGGCAUCCGAAAGUGGUACCUUUCUUAACGAGAUUCUUGAAUUUUUUGGAGUAAGCAGGGUUCAGAUGUUAUUUUCCCUGCUUUUGAGUUAUUUUAGGAAGGACGUGGUCUCGCAACUUUGCCCCGGGAGGUCAAAUUUGUCCACAAGUUAUAGUUAUGAAUUAUCUCAGAUGAUUUUUUUGGGCUCGGGUCCUAAUCCGUUAAACAAAAGCCUUUGUUUCUUUUAAGAGCGGUCUUCAGCACGUGCCAAAGCAACCAUGUCGUUUAAAAAGCAACCAUUGUGAUAGUAUUAAGGUUAAAAUUCAUGUAACAGUUCAUUCAGAGAACAAUGAGGGUGGUCUUGUUGUUAGAGAUAACAAAACGUGUUAUCUCCAAAUGGGCUGUUUCAUGAAUUUGAACCAUAUAAUUAGAACGGUAAAUUUUCGUUUUAAACGGGCUUGUUCCCGUUACUUAUGUCGGGGCUAUUAACAGUAACCACUGCAUAAAGGAAACAAUACCUUUUGUUUAACAGAUUAGGGCCCGAGCCCGAAAAAAUCACCUGAGAUAAUUCAUACUAUAAUUCCAAAAUAUUUCCCGACAUUGUUUAAGUUUAUAAUUGCCAAACCAUUCCGUUGUGUUUUGAAUAUUUUUUCACAAAUCAAAAUUCUAUAUCGUCAGGCGACAAGCAAAACUCACUAAUGACUACGACAAGUUAAUAGUCAUAGUGAACCAUAUUAAUACCCUAAUAAGGUUGAUUUUUGUUUAAUAUUUUUUUAGUUAUUAGUGAGUUUUGCUUGGUAUCUGACGAUAUGUUAUUUGGUUACAUAGUUGGCUAUUGUAGGCUACUUCUCUUCUUCCUCGCGUUAUCCCGACAUUUCACCACGGCUCAUGGGAGCCUGGGGUACGCUUGGCAACUAAUCCCAAGAAUUGGCGUAGGCGCUAGAUUUUACGAAAGCGACUGCCAUCUGACCUUCCAAUCCAGAGGGGAAACUAGGCCUUAUUGGGAUUAGUCCGGUUUCACGAUGUUUUCCUUCACCGAAAAGCGACUGGUAAAUAUCCAAUGAUAUGUAUUUCGUACAUCAGUUUCAAAUAACCUCAUUGGUACGAGCCGGGGUUUGAAUUUGAACCCGCGACCUCCGGAUUGCAAGUCGCACGCUCUUACAGCUAGGCCACCAGCGCUUUUGAAAUUCCGGAACUGCCUAUUAAAAUGCCUAUGUUUGACAAUUAAAUUAAACUCUCGUGCUUAACCCUGGGAGGGUUAUGAGGGGAGGGCAAUGUAAAGUUGCGAGUUAACAUUAAAAGUAUUUCAGUCUGUAUGUAUGUAUGUAUUACAAAGUUAAGGGGUGUAAUUUUUUAUAUUAUUUUGUGGACCAAAUGUUUUUACAAGCUUUCCUAAAAAUGUCAUAAAUGUACUGAUUAAUUGUUUUAUUUAAUGUUAUAUACAUAAAUAUCUUCAAUGUGUUUAUUUUGGUCGGAUAUUUUAAGCUAAGACACUUGAAUAAGUGUUGGUUGGACUAUAUAGACCAAUCAAUAAGGCAAGUGAUUCUAACAAUAAUUACACCUUUUGUUUUCCAUAUGGAUAAAAUGAUAGAGAAUGCUUGAAGUAAUUUUGACCGUAUCGUUAUAAAACACUUGUUUUUAAGCAAAAUUUGUACCGCUAUUGUAUCUUAGUGUAAAGUGUAAAAAUGUAUCUCGUAUAUUGGUUAAAUUUAUUUUAUUGUAAGAAAAUAUAUGAAAUUAAAUGGA